rnacentral:rRNA from 1 species
AGUGAACGCUGGCGGUAGGCCUAACACAUGCAAGUCGAACGGCAGCACAGUAAGAGCUUGCUCUUACGGGUGGCGAGUGGCGGACGGGUGAGGAAUACAUCGGAAUCUACUUUUUCGUGGGGGAUAACGUAGGGAAACUUACGCUAAUACCGCAUACGACCUACGGGUGAAAGCAGGGGAUCUUCGGACCUUGCGCGAUUGAAUGAGCCGAUGUCGGAUUAGCUAGUUGGCGGGGUAAAGGCCCACCAAGGCGACGAUCCGUAGCUGGUCUGAGAGGAUGAUCAGCCACACUGGAACUGAGACACGAUACAGACUCCUACAGGAGGCAGCAGUGGGGAAGAGAGGACAAUGGGCGCAAGCCUGAUCCAGCCAUACCGCGUGGAUGAAGAAGGCCUUCGGGUUGUAAAGCCCUUUUGUUGGGAAAGAAAAGCAGCAGGUUAAUACCCCGCUGUUCUGACGGUACCCAAAGAAUAAGCACCGGCUAACUUCGU